rnacentral:rRNA from 1 species
CCUACGGGAGGCAGCAGUGAGGAAUAUUGGUCAAUGGACGAGAGUCUGAACCAGCCAAGUAGCGUGAAGGAUGACUGCCCUAUGGGUUGUAAACUUCUUUUAUAAAGGAAUAAAACGAGGCACGUGUGCCUUUUUGCAUGUACUUUAUGAAUAAGGAUCGGCUAACUCCGUGCCAGCAGCCGCGGUAAUACGGAGGAUCCGUGCGUUAUCCGGAUUUAUUGGGUUUAAAGGGAGCGUAGAGUGGUUGUUAAGUCAGUUGUGAAAGUUUGCGGCUCAACCGUAAAAUUGCAAUUGAUACUGGCAGUCGUGAGUACAGUUGAGGUAGGCGGAAUUCGUGGUGUAGCGGUGAAAUGCUUAGAUAUCACGAAGAACCCCGAUUGCGAAGGCAGCUUACUAAACUGUGACUGACAUUGAUGCUCGAAAGUGUGGGUAUCAAACAGGAUUAGAUACCCCAGUAGUC